GCAGCAAGAGGCGCACCAGCGGCGCGUGGCCACGCAGCACAGCCAGGUGGAGAGGGGUCCUUCCAAAGCGGUCCCUGCAAUGAAGUAAAGGUGUCCCGGGAGCCGGCAGUCUGCUGACCAGACCCUAUCCUGCCCCUCCCCAAGAAGGAAUCCCAGUCAGUCCCAGAGCUUACUUCUCUUCCACUCUGGCCCCUUGCCUCAGGAGCUUCGUCACCAAGGCAGCAGGACCAUGCCACACGGCCUGGAGCAGGUUCCCCUGGCUCUGGGGGGCACUGGGCCCCUUUGUCCUGGCUUCCCGGGCCUCCGAGCUUAGUUCUAUCCACUGCAAUUCCUGCUCUGCAGCCUCCGCCCCUUCCUGCUCCAUAGGCUCAGGCCUGCUGGAAUCCACCUGGGGAGAGUAUUCACCUUGGAGGCUCUGCCUUGUGGGCCCAGGUGUCCCAUGCCAAGGUGGAGGCACCCAUGCACACACCUUCUCCAUGGAAACCCAGCCUUCUGACUUUGAGUUACCUCCAGGGAGAAUUUCCCCAGGGGCUCUGUCCUCUGGCUGGGGGGUCACCUCCACGCUGAUUCUAGCCCAGUACCAGCCUAGUGACUGUCCUCACAAGACUCCUUCUGCAGGCUGUUGUGGGAGUUUCACCUGAGAGGCCAGGGGUGAAGAGAAGCUCCUACUUCUUCCUGGGCCAGGCGGAGCCACUGGCACGGUUUACCCAGUAAUCUAAGGAGAAGCUCUGCCUGCCUGGCUGCAGCCCCUGGCCAGCACCCUACCCCCUGCAGACUGCCUGGCCUCCCUCAGACCUCCUGCCAGGAACCAAGACCAGGGCAGUCUGGGAAGCGCAAACAGGAACAUGCUCCUGGGUGACAUUCCUCCCCCCACAACCUGCACAAGGAACAUGGCCUCUGAUGUGCCUGGACUUGCCCCCAGUCACCUUUGCUCUGACCCUACCCCUGCUCCUGUUUCUACUGGCUAAAAGGACCUGAGGAUGGAGCCACCUCUCCUGAGUUGGGUCAGAGCUGGGGAAGAGUUCAAGAGACUUGUGCUGGCCAACAGGAGACAGCCCAACUCUGGAGCUGCCCAUUACACCCACCCCCACUACCCCCAGGCUGCAAAGGAUGAGGUGUUUGGAGGGUUGUACCCUGGCCCCUCAUUACCUCGCUAGCAGGCAGCCCUUCCAGGUGCCCCAAGGGUGGACAAUCCAUGAGGGCAUACCCCAGCAGGCUGGCCAGCAAAGAAGCAGUGAGCUCUGGACUGAUGUAAAUACCCAAAGCAAGAGGAGCUUUGGUCUCAGCAUCCGCCCCCUGGCCUUCGUCCCACAGGAGGACCCAAAUUUGAGGGGGAUAAGGGCACUUGUGCUAAGGAGUCACCUGCAUGGUGCAGUUGUCCCUGGGGAUCAGUGGAAAGACCCACACCUCAUCAUAGUAAGGGAGGAUGUAGAACUGCCUGUGCCAGCCUCCCAGAAGGAGGCAGGUGAGACAGUGGGCCUCAUGUGGCUCCCUGGACAGUCUGCCUUCCCCAGCUCUGCCCAGGCCUUGGUGGAUUGGGUUUGCCUUGCCUCUGGGUCCAGGCAAGGCUGCCAGGAUGCCAGCUCAGGCUCACCUCUGGGAGGCAGGCCUUUGAAGCCCAGAGCCAAGAGCAGUUCUUGGCACCAAACUGUGGUUUGAAUGUGUCCUUCAAAAGUGCAUGUGUUGGACACUUAAUUCCCAGUUAUACGUUGAUGGCAUUUGCAGCUGGGGCCUUUGGGAGCUAAUUAGGAUCAGUUGAGGUCAUGAGGGAAGGGCCUCCAUGAUCAAAUUAAUGGUUUUGUGAGAGAGUGGGCUGGGGAAGUGGAUCAGUGGUAAAGCAUUUUCCUGGCAUGUGUGAGGCCCUGGAUUUGUAUUCCCAGCACUGGAGAAGAAGAAGAAGGAGG